AGAGUUUGAUCCUGGCUCAGGAUGAACGCUGGCGGCGUGCCUAACACAUGCAAGUCGAACGGAGCCUUAACCAAAGAAGCAGCCAGCUUGCUGGAAGCGGAAAAGGGAAAGGCUUAGUGGCGGACGGGUGAGUAACGCGUGGGUAACCUGGCCCAUACAGGGGGAUAACACUUAGAAAUAGGUGCUAAUACCGCAUAACAACAGAAAGCGCAUGCUUUUUGUUUGAAAACCAAGGUGGUAUGGGAUGGACCCGCGUCUGAUUAGCUGGUUGGCGGGGUAAAGGCCCACCAAGGCGACGAUCAGUAGCCGGCCUGAGAGGGUGGACGGCCACAUUGGGACUGAGACACGGCCCAAACUCCUACGGGAGGCAGCAGUGGGGAAUAUUGCACAAUGGGGGAAACCCUGAUGCAGCGACGCCGCGUGAGUGAAGAAGUAAUUCGUUAUGUAAAGCUCUAUCAGCAGGGAAGAAAAUGACGGUACCUGAGUAAGAAGCCCCGGCUAACUACGUGCCAGCAGCCGCGGUAAUACGUAGGGGGCAAGCGUUAUCCGGAUUUACUGGGUGUAAAGGGAGCGUAGACGGCAGUGCAAGUCUGGAGUGAAAGGCGGGGGCUCAACCCCCGGACUGCUCUGGAAACUGUACGGCUGGAGUGCAGGAGAGGUAAGUGGAAUUCCUAGUGUAGCGGUGAAAUGCGUAGAUAUUAAGAGGAACACCAGUGGCGAAGGCGGCUUACUGGACUGUAACUGACGUUGAGGCUCCAAAGCGUGGGGAGCAAACAGGAUUAGAUACCCUGGUAGUCCACGCCGUAAACGAUGAUCACUAGGUGUCGGGGGUUAAAGAACCUUCGGUGCCGCAGCCAACGCAGUAAGUGAUCCACCUGGGGAGUACGUUCGCAAGAAUGAAACUCAAAGGAAUUGAC
rnacentral:rRNA from 1 species